rnacentral:rRNA from 1 species
AUUGAACGCUGGCGGCAGGCCUAACACAUGCAAGUCGAGCGAGCGGCGGACGGGUGAGUAAUGUAUGGGGACUGCCCGAUAGAGGGGGAUAACUACUGGAAACGGUAGCUAAUACCGCAUACUAUCGGGUAAACCAUAUGGGAUUAGCUAGUAGGUGAGGUAAUGGCUCACCUAGGCGACGAUCCCUAGCUGGUCUGAGAGGAUGAUCGGCCACACUGGGACUGGGACACGGCCUAGAGUCCUACGGAGGCAGCAGUGGGGGUUAUUGCACAAUGGGCGCAAGCCUGACCCAGCAACGCCGCGUGAAGGAAGACGGUCUUCGGAUUGUAAACUUCUUUAGACAGAGACGCGGUACCUGUAGAAUAAGCCACGGCUAACUACGUGCCAGCAGCCGCGGUAAUUC